UACAGAGGGUGCGAGCGUUGUCCGGAAUCACUGGGCGUAAAGGGCGCGUAGGCGGCCUGAUAAGUAGGGGGUGAAAUCCUGUGGCUUAACUGCAGGGCUGCCUCCUAGACUGUUAGGCUCGAGCACGGUAGAGGCAGAUGGAAUUCCCGGUGUAGCGGUGGAAUGCGUAGAGAUCGGGAAGAACAUCGGUGGCGAAGGCGGCAUCCUGGACCGAUAUUGACGCUGAUGCGCGAAAGCCAGGGGAGCAAACGGG
rnacentral:rRNA from 1 species